rnacentral:sRNA from 1 species
AACUUGCGUUAAGGAUUGAUGCGGCAUCCUUUGCUUUUUUUUAAAAGCAAAGAUACAGCGGAAAGCCUGACCUUGC